rnacentral:rRNA from 1 species
UUGGAGGGCAAGUCUGGUGCCAGCAGCCGCGGUAAUUCCAGCUCCAAUAGCGUAUAUUAAAGUUGUUGCAGUUAAAAAGCUCGUAGUUGAAUUUCGGGGUUAGUAGGCUGGUCGUGCCACAGGUAUGCACUGGUCUUACUGAUUCCUCCUUCCUGAUGAACCGUAAUGCCAUUAAUUUGGUGUUGCGGGGAGUCUGGACUGUUACUUUGAAAAAAUUAUAGUGUUUAAAGCAGGCUAACGCUUGAAUACCUUAUCAUGGAAUAACGAAAUAGGACGUUCGAUCCUAUUUUGUUGGUUUCUAGGAUUGACGUAAUGAUUAAUAGGGAUAGUUGGGGGCAUUAGUAUUCAAUUGUCAGAGGUGAAAUUCUUGGAUUUAUUGAAGACUAACUACUGCGAAAGCAUUUGCCAAGGAUGUUUUCAUUAAUCAAGAACGAAAGUUAGGGGAUCGAAGACGAUCAGAUACCGUCGUAGUCUUAACCAUAAACUAUGCCGACUAGGGAUCGGAUGAUGUUAAUUUUUUAAUGACUCAUUCGGCGCCUUACGGGAAAC